UUUUCCAUUUACAGAUGAGGAAACUGAGGCUUAGAAAUACUCUUCCAAGGUCACCCGGUUUGAAUGUGUCAGAGCUGGUGUUUGUGCCCUAAAGAUCACCCUACAUGCCUUGGAGGAUAAGAGAACCCUGAACUGGGACCGUGAGAAGGCAUCAAAUUAGAGAAAGAGUGGAUUUAAAAACUCAGCCAGAGAGGCCCAAGGUGAUGCUGCUGCUGCUGUUGCUGCUCUAGGUACCACACUUUGAGAAAGCCUGGUCGAGGUAACUUGUAGGACCCUGCCUUGGUGCCACCAUGAGCUACUGUUCACUUUGGUGCUGGCCACCCCACAGCUUCCUGGGACACAGAAGACAACCCCAGGACUGCAGUAACUGAGGGCUGAAGAUGGAAGAAUCACAAUUGCCUUUAUUCCUCUGACUCCUGAAAAGAAGAUACGGUGCUCAGUGAUAUGCUGUGGAGAUAUGGCAGCAAAUCCACUCAAAAACGAAGAAAAACCUUACUUCAGAAAUGAAGGCUGGAAUAAAGGUGAAGGAACUAACUUCCAAGUUCAAAUUAUCUCAUUUGGGGAUGAGUAUCAUUUUUUAGAACAAGGGAAAAUAUUUGAAGAAAGGAGAAAAUUCCAAGUCAAUUCCAUCGAUGGUGGCAUGAAAAUGCAUUGGCUGAGCAAUGAGAUGGAAACGUGUGUGACUCUGUGGAUGCCUGGUCAGAAAAUGCCUAUGCCUCUGAAGUUUAAAGUCUAAACCAAUUGAUGAAUUUUAGCAUACGUGCUUGAAUCAAUACAGGAAUGGUGUGAUUACUUCCAGAAGAGAAAUUGUUGGCCCAGCAUCAGGA